UAUUCAUCUGGGAUAGUGGAAGAAAAUAUGUUAUGAAACUUGAAACCUGAGUUUACUGUUCAUUAGUCAGUAAUCUGGAAUCUUUCCCUAGUGCUUCUCAAAAAGUGUUUAUAAAAUGCAGAAUGUAAGUCUUUAUGUCUGUAGAGAAAGAUUAAUAAAUUGAUUUCUUUCUUUAGACCUAUGCAUACAACACAAAGUGUCAAAUUAAAGGCAUAACUUUGAUUUAAUCACAAGUUUUGUGAACCACAAAUCCUUGCACAAUGAGGUUGUUGGAUAUCAGCUGUCUGAAAGGUUUUCUAAAGAUAGAUCACUGCUGAUGUUUGUGAUUCAAACAAAAGUUAAUCUGUACAAAUGACCGUACAAACCCAAUCUGUCAUCAUCACCUAUGAAUGUUUCUGCUUUUCUACUCUUUCUCUAAAUUAAUAUUUAAGCAUUUAGAUGACAAAGAAAUGGUUCUUGUUUUAUCUAAGAAAAUCCUUCUUAACACUAACCAACAACUCAACAUGAAAACUCUGACAAAAUUUCAUUGUUAUCGUCUCAACCGUACUCAGUAAGACCAGCUAUGAGGUGAAACACAUUACAAACUUUGAUUUAAAGCAAAUAAGUAUUUGAAAUUCAUACAGAAUUCAAAGGCAAGACUGUGCAACAGCUUUAAUUUUAAAAUUUAUUGUAAAAUGUGUAUAUUCCAUGUACAGUUUGCUUGUUUCAAAUCAGUCUGAAGGAUAACCAUUAGACCACACACUUGUUGAUUAGGAACCAUUUCACAGUGACACGUGCUCUCACGGACAAUCGCGAGAUCAAACUUGACUAGAGAAGAAAAACAAAUAGAGGACAAUCAAUGUUGUCAGCUGGCUCUCUUGGUGCGCGUUCUGUUUCACAGUAUAAAAAAAGAUUAUGGGUGAUGUUCUCUGCUCGCUCUCAUUGGCUAUCGCGGGUAUCACAUCAGAGGCAGCCUCAGCCUGAUCAAGAGUCUUAAAUAUCAAACAUGAUAGUUUACCUGCUUGAGGGAAAGGGUUGCCAGGUUUUCAAAACAAAACCUGCCCAAUUGCUACUCAAAACUAAGCCAAACUAUCCGCGUUUUUAUCAUCAAUGUUGAUAACAGUUGUGCUGUUUAAUAUUUCCAGAGACACGAGGCAGGUGUCUGCCGGAGACUAUAGGGAAUGUAGAGGGAAUCAGGAAAGACAUUGAUGACUUGCUACUACAAUAAAUGGAUGAACAGUAAGGCAGUAGGUUGAAAUGGAAAGACAAUUUAAUUGUGCAGGACACAUAUUCUUACCACAGAGGAUCUGUAUUAGUUUCACUGCAAGACAGUUUCCAGGAAAAGUUACAUUUUGCCCUGAGUAAUUUUUUUUUUUUUUUUUU